GCUUUUGACUCCUGUGCAACUACAUAAUAUUGUUUAUAAAAUUAAGUUUUUAAUAUCUUUGUUUAUUUUCAGUCUAGUGUCUAGUUAAUUGCUUAAAAAAUGUACUUUGCUCUGCUCUAUUUUCAUUGACGAUACAAUGAUAGAUGAUUUAUAGCACACUUGUUGCAGUUCCACUUUAAGAUAAAUAUCAAAGUUUGAUACCAUAUGUUCCGGUAGUUAUUAUCUUGAUUUGAAUUGUUUCAGUAAAAGAAUAAGGAACAAACAUCCAAUUAGGAUUAGCCAAGUUUAAUACACGAAACAAUGAAACGAAAUAAGUGCCUAAAUAAGUAAGAAGAAAUCAUUUUUUAUUAAGGAUACAAUUCGAAAUGAUGAUAGAUUAUAAUUAUACAUUGUACACUGUCAGUGUUUAUUUAGAUCGAUCCAUCGGAAUGUUUAUUUACACACAGAUAUAAACAUUAUACCAUGGGAAUUCGUAGCACAUAAUAUUUAGACUGAAGUCGGAAACAUUUUCCUGAAACGAUUAUUUUUCGUGUUAAACCUUGUGCUUCCAGAGAUAAUAACCAAGGUUUUAUUUACAAGAUUGUUAUCAUUACUUCAAACCAACGGACACUAGUUUAUGUUCCAAAAAUGUAAACAAAAUAAGAAAAUCAACUGAAAUUUAUUUUGUAAAUUAGGGCGCCAAUAUAAAUUGAGUUGAUAAGAAAGUGCUAACUACAAUAAACGCACUGGAAAGCUAUUUCGGAUAAAAUACAUCGGUUUAAGCGGACAUUAUUUAUGCAAAAUUACAGAUAUCGUUAUUUGUAUCUGUUCUGGUCGUUUCUGAACAUGGAUAUUUUUCGGAAGAGUUCGCAUGAUAGUUCCCACAUUACUGGAUUCAGAUUCAUUGGUAAUGGAGGCCUUGUGUACUAUGCAAUACAAAGAAAACUACAUUCAUGUGUCAACAUUUGCUGUUAUUAACAGGGAUAUACACAGAUCAUUGUGGAUUAUAAAUGAAAGUUGGAUCUUUAAAAGCGACCACGUUACCUAACUGGAAUAGCGUUUGAAGGAGAUGUAUAUUCGUAUUGCUUUGAAUAUUACAAAUAUAUGGACAUUUGUUUUCGUAAUGUGAAAUGAUAACGUAUCUCGAAAAUGUCAGGACAGAAACAUUCAAUAAUUACAUUCUAACCAUAUCAAGUUGUGUAAGAUGUGCAAACAGUGACAAAAAAUCAUGAUGGAAUAUAUUGAAAAUCUUGUAAUCUUUCACAAUUUGUAAUUAUUUCUAUGAUGACUAAUGGCAAUACAUGCAAGCAACAUGUAUUUUGUCUGUUUACAGAAAGUUAAAUUCAAAAGGAAUUGUAUUCUUUUUCACACAGUAUCAGUUACCUUUGACAUUCAGUUUUCUGAAACUUAUCAGAAUUUUACUCGUUAUCUUGGCUUUUCUGUAUAUACUUAUUCUUUAUUAGAUGACAUAUACAUGUAUAAUUACAUAACACAGUGCUUAACACAGUGCUUAAAUUCUGAUAGCAAUAGCAAAACUCAUCUUUUCAUCAGAUUUCAGAAUGUCUAGAAUUUUGAGUGCAAUGUUAUCACUCAUUUUAUUUAUCUGAUUUAAGAUAGAUACACACAAUAUCAACAUAGGUCGCUUAUCAGAAUUCUGAAAGCCAUAACAACGGUCAGAUUUUCUUCUGUCAGAUUUCAAUUGUUUUGUAACGGCUUAUCGGAAUUCGGAUAGCAACAUUGACAUACAUUAUUUAUUUCCUCUGUUUAUAAUUCAGAUAGUAAAGUCAAUGUUCUUGUUUUCUACUGCCUGCUCUCAAAUGGUGUUUAUCUGAAUUCGGAUAGCAAACGCAACGCGCAGUUUCUCUACUGUUCGGCUCCAGAUCGUUUUACGCUGUGGCUUAGGCGAAUUCGGAUAACAACGAUAAUACAUACACAAGAUCUAUUUCAUAUAUUCCUGAUGAUAUGCAAAACUUAUAGUUAUUUCAAUUCAGAUAGCAAAGUCAAUGCUAGGUUUUUUGAACUGCAUGAUUGCUUAUCUGAAUUUGGAUAGCAAAAACGAAACACAAUUUUUAUUCUGUCCAACUUUAGAUAGUCAGUAUUUUAUAGACUUGUCUGAAUUCGGAUAAUAAUACAAACUCACAUAUUUGGUCUAGUGUAUUUACUUGUUCGUUUAAUGAUCAGGUACAAGGUCUCUUCCGUAAAUUAUCGUAUUUGGUAAAGUGUAUAUUUGCUUAGGACAGCGUAGCAUAAUGAAUAUUGGAUUUAAUCUGAUAGUAUUUUGUAUUUGUAUAAUUGAUAUAAAAUGAAUUGAAGGUAAUCUAAGUCUGCCUUUUAUCUGAUUUCGGAUAGAGCAGUUUUCUUAUACAUAUUUAGAUAUGCGGUUUCCUGUUCCCUGCUCGAGGUGUCUUAUAUUUAAUAUAUAUUCAUGAUUAUUAAAGUUAUGAAACA